rnacentral:rRNA from 1 species
UACGUAGGGGGCAAGCGUUGUCCGGAAUCAUUGGGCGUAAAGCGCGUGUAGGCGGCUCGAUAAGUCCGUUCUGAAGUCCAGGGCUCAACCCUGGGAUGCGGAUGGAUACUGUCGAGCUCGAGUCCGGAAGAGGCGAGUGGAAUUCCUGGUGUAGCGGUGAAAUGCGCAGAUAUCAGGAGGAACACCGAUGGCGAAGGCAGGUCUCCUGGGCAUUAACUGACGCUGAGGAGCGAAAGCAUGGGGAGCGAACAGG